rnacentral:rRNA from 1 species
UACGGGGGGGGCAAGCGUUGUUCGGAAUUACUGGGCGUAAAGGGUUUGUAGGCGGCUUGUCGCGUCGUCCGUGAAAACUUGGGGCUCAACCCCAAGCUUGCGGUCGAUACGGGCAGGCUAGAGUUCGGUAGGGGAGACUGGAAUUCCUGGUGUAGCGGUGGAAUGCGCAGAUAUCAGGAGGAACACCAAUAGCGAAGGCAGCUCGCUGGGACGGUACUGACGCUAAGGCGCGAAAGCGUGGGGAGCGAACAGGAUUAGGAU